CUGAAUGAUUACUGAGUGAAUGCUGAAUGAUUAUUGAGUGAAUGCUGAAUGAUUACUGAGUGAAUGCUGAAUG